UACGUAGGGGGCAAGCGUUGUCCGGAUUUAUUGGGCGUAAAGAGCGUGUAGGCGGCUAGGUAGGUCCGUUGUGAAAACUCGAGGCUCAACCUCGAGACGUCGAUGGAAACCAUCUGGCUAGAGUCCGGAAGAGGAGAGUGGAAUUCCUGGUGUAGCGGUGAAAUGCGCAGAUAUCAGGAAGAACACCCGUGGCGAAGGCGGAUCUCUGGGCCAUUACUGACGCUGAGGAGCGAAAGCGUGGGGAGCGAACAGG
rnacentral:rRNA from 1 species